UUCCCAUCAACGCCUCACGGUUAUCUCUUUCAGGUCUAAUUAAAGUCAGAGAAUGGUUGUUCUCUGCAGAGCAUCCUGUGGGAAUUUUUUCAAACGGAUGAUGCAUCUGUGUGUUGCUUGGAUGAGUUCAGCGUCACUAUGUCUCUCAGGAUGAACAGCAAAGGCGCCAGUUUGCUGGAAAAAGAUGCAGUUCCUUUUCAGAAUUCUGAGUAGUUACGUCGGAGGUCCUCUAACCCUUCAUCACAACUCACAACCUUUCUUUGGACAGAAGAGUCCUGUGAAUGUAGAAGGCAUACAGAAGGCAUUGAGGUGAACAUGUGAUAACCACUUGACAGUUCUGAAAAUCUGCUUCAUAGAUGUCUACCAUAGCAUAUUUAAACUGUUAGCUUUCUUUAAAAAUAGUAUGUGUGACACAAAGCUUGCUUAAAAUAGCAGAUUCGUCACGGUCUUCUAAAAUUAAUAUUAAGCAUUUUAUCUAUAGAUUGAAAUAUCUUGUCUAUGUUAAAUAAAUUAAGUAAAUAAAUAAAUGCAAGUGUUCUGAAUUACCC
ensembl:lincRNA